rnacentral:rRNA from 1 species
CCAAUAGCGUAUAUUAAAGUUGUUGCAGUUAAAAAGCUCGUAGUUGAAUUUCGGGAUCAGUACGCUGGUCGUGCCUUCGGUAUGCACUGGUGUCACUGGUUCCUACCUUCUGAAGAACCAUCAUGCCAUUCAGUUGGUGUGGCGGGGAAUCAGGACUGUUACUUUGAAAAAAUUAGAGUGUUUAAAGCAGGCUCGCGCUUGAAUACAUUAGCAUGGAAUAAUGAAAUAGAACGUUUGACCCUAUUUUGUUGGUUUCUAGGAUCGACGUAAUGAUUAAUAGGGAUAGUUGGGGGCAUUAGUAUUCAAUUGUCAGAGGUGAAAUUCUUGGAUUUAUUGAAGACUAACUACUGCGAAAGCAUUUGCCAAGGAUGUUUUCAUUAAUCAAGAACGAAAGUUAGGGGAUCGAAGACGAUCAGAUACCGUCGUAGUCUUAACCAUAAACUAUGCCGACUAGGGAUCGGAUGAUGUUAAUUUUUUAAUGACUCAUUCGGCGCCUUACG